rnacentral:lncRNA from 10 species
CUUUUUCAAAAUGGAAGCUGCCCCAGUAGCCGCUGCAGAAAAUGUGUUGAAUUUAUUCAUCCAUGAAGGCAGAGGGCUGGAAGUGCAGGAAAACUAAGGGUUGGAGAAACUCUUUUCUCCCAAGCCAACAAAACCAAGUCAGUCUUCCUGGGGGAAGACCACGGGAGUCCACAAGAGGCUGCCUCCUGGGAGAUUAUGGAAACAGGGGCUGUGGGCAGGCAGACUACAGAGGCAUUUCAGCAAUGGUUUGACCUGUUGUUUGGAUCCUUAAGCCUGCCUUGAAAGAAGAGGGAGAAGGCUUCAGGGGAAAUGCUCCCCGCGCUGACCCACAGGAUGGCUUCCUUCAACAAAUGCAGCCACCUUUGAUUGGCUGCCUGCUACAAGAGAAACAUCAGGAGGCUCUGUAAUGGACAUGCAGAGGAAGAAGGACCUGUUGCCACGUCUACAGAGGGGUCAGGAAAGACACACUUGGAAUGACCCUAAGAAACCAUGGGCAAGUCUCCAUUUUUUUCCCUCAGCCAAAUCUGUAUGCACUGGUACAGCCAUACCAAUUAUUAAAAUAUUGAAAAACUUCUGUGUCCCUUGGGAAACAGCCACUACCAUGAGCCCCACUACUGCCCUUCUCUCCUGGCAUGUUCAGACCUCCCUGAGUCCAGCAAUGAAAGGGUUAACACUUGCCCCAGCAGAGGGCCUCUGGGAGCCAGCUCCUGCCUUCAGAGCUGUCUGUUAAGACUGGUCUAGGACUAGAUUCAUUCUUACUGUUUUUAAAUAGCUUGAAUGUCACCUCCAGAUGAAGCUCCCCAAACGGAAUGAGACAUCUAAAUAGAGCCACAUGGGGUCCAUCUGGGGUGGCUCCCCAGAGGACAAAUUUUGCAAAGGAAAUCUGAUGGGGUAAGAGAUGCAAUUUAGUGGCUAGGAGAGUGAGGG